CCUUUAUAUAUAUUUUCCAGGCGAUACACCACUACUAUAAGAAAAACUUUAAAAGUUAUUAUAAUGUUGGAUACAUUUAAAUUUUAAAACGUUGAGAAAAAAACUUGUAAAAUAACAUAUCUUUCCUUUUUGAAAAAAAUCUUAGCUUUAAAAUAACAUAUAUCUUAUACAACAAAAUAAGAUUUCUUACAAAACUUCAAGAAGGUGAUAUGUGCUAUUUAUUUUUUAUCAUUUAUUGUUAAUCAAUAAUUAAUCUAUUAAUUUUAUUUUUGUUAUUUGUUUUUUAUUCAACAAUUGAGUAAUCUAUUUCUUAUUUAUUGGUCUUAUAUAAUAAAAUAAAAUGUCUUAUAGAUAAAAGCUUUAAAGUGACAUGUAUCAUUUUUGUUUUCAUUUUUCUAGCCUUCAGUUAAUAUAUUCAUUUUUGCCUUCAGUUAAUCUAAUUAUUGGUCUUAUAUAAUAAAAUAAAAUGUCUUAAUUUUAUUUAUUUAUUUUACAUUAAAAUAUUUCCUUAGACAAUAAAGGUGUAACUAGUAACAUAUUUUAGAAAAAAAUGAUAAAUUUGUUAUUUCUCAGAAUUGAUACCAGUUAAGUUAAAUUUUUUUGUCUAACUAGUAAUUCAUCAGCUCCACUACAUUCCUCUUUUUUCCUCAUAUGCAGAUGAACUAAUGAAGAAAAUUUUCCUUUUUUAAUUCUGAUAUGAAGCAUUUGUUUCUUUCUAUUCAGCUAUUCUUUUUCAAUUCUAUUUUUCAAAAAAAAAAUUGUUCAACUUUUAUUUUAUUCAUUCUAUUCAUUAAGUGGCCACCAAUUAAAGCUUAUGUCACUCUUUAUAACAUCUAACAUAAUUGUAUAUAUAAAAUAAUAAAUAAAUAUUAUGUAACUUUUAUAAUAAAGUAUUAUGCCUCUUGCAAAAAAAAAACAUUGGGAGUGUGAUAUAUGUCAUCUUAUUUAUUGCCCUUUAUAAUUUUUUUUUUUUUGGAUAAAAUGUGAAAUUUACUGAUAAAUGAAGAAGAAUAGAAAUUUACAAAAGAUUAUGAAAAGUUAUAAAAGCUAUAAAAGAAAAACUAUACAAUGCUUGUAAGAAAUGAAUUUCAAGCUCUGGUGUGUUAAGCUGUAACUUUGAACCACCGACACAUCAAGCCUGCAAACUUGUGGUCGGCCUUAUAUCGAAAAGAAGUAAUCAUAUUUCGCAUAGCCUUAUCAAUAAUCUGAACCACAUGUUCUACUGUCUAAAACCCUGUUUGGUGCUUCUCUCAUUCCUCUCUUUCUAAAGAUGAUAGAUACUACUCCCAAACACCAUUUUGAGAAGAAUUUUGUCCAUGACAUGAAGAAAAUUUCCACUCACAAACUGCAUUGUAGCCAUCUAGUCUGGAUCAGUCCUACCCCCACUCAGUCGAUUUACAAGCUUGUCCCAUACCGUAAGGGAGUAAGGGCAUGCAGACAAAAACACGGUCCCGUGUCUCAUUGCUCUCUCCACACAAGACACAACCCUGCUGGAUACUCCAAGUUAUCAUUCUAUCACCUGUUGAUAAUUUGUUCUUCACUGCCAGCCAUACUAUAAACGAUAACCGCAGAACCGUCUGAGAAAACCAAACAUUUUUACUCCAGAAUACAGUAGCCUUUUUCACCCUGAUUUGGUCCCCAAGUCCUUGCCGAUGAAAAACAAGUUUUAUAGGUAUCCUCUGAAUGCUUCCAGACCACCAAAUGGUUACCAAUAGAGUCAUUAGGCACCUGUUCAUUUUGAAUGCGAUCGUAAAGGGUGUGGAAGCGCCGGCGUCUACGACCUCGAAUGUUUCAAUCUGAGUGCAGAACUGCAUCACUCACCCGCACAUUGCGAGCUACUCCAAGGUAAGAAGUGCCAAUAACACCAGUGAUAUCUAUAAGCUUCCCCAUUUUUAACUAAUCAUCGAACCAAAAGUAGGCAGUGUGGUCAUCAUUCACCUAGAACUGAAUAAACAGAUACACUAGAGGUCUCAACUUCAAGAGUUUUCUUCAUACCCAUGAACCUUUUCCAUCUACCUUUACAUUCCAAAAAGAGUUUUGUCUCAGCAGAUAUUGAUCUAUCCAGGAGACCCACAAGGAACUUUUAAGCAAUUUUUUUUUCCAAAUGAGACUCAUAGCAAACGCCGUGGAGGAGUCACAAAGCUUUCUGAUUCCAAGACCACCUUCCUCUUUAGGAUACCAAAGCUCUUCCCAUGCCACCUUAGCUUUUGUUGGUCUGAAAUCUGAUUUGGAGAGCCCGACCACAAAAAAGUAGUGCACAUACUUUCAAUUUCAUCCAGACAAGCUUUAGGAAGAAUGAAAGUUGGCUCCAGAAGUUUACAAUACUAGAGAUAAUAGACUUGAUUAAUUGUAAACGACCAGCAUAUGAGAGACUUGUUGCGCCAAGAGAUCAUCCUCUUACGUACUAUGUCUAUCAAAGUUCCAUAGUCCUGCUUUGUGGGGGCCUUAGUGAUGAAAAGCAUACCCAUAUACCAAACCGGUAAAGUUCCCACCUUGAUUCCUAUAUGCUCAACUUCGUGUAUUAUUGGGUUUGUAGUCUGUCAUGCGGCAAAGAUGGUGGAUUUAGAUGCAUUUAUGUGAAGUCCUGAGAUGCUGGCAAACUGAUUCAUAACAUCCAGAACACCACGUAAAGAUUUAACCAAACCAUUAGUAAACACCAGUAUAUCAUCGGCAAAACUGAGAUGUGCGAGAUGCACUUCUCUACACUGCGGGUGAUAAGCGAACUGAUGUUCUGCCGCUGUGUUAUUCAACAUAUUAGUCAAGAGAUUAUUCAAUAUGACAUAGAGAUAAAACGACAGGGAGAAGUCUUGACGGAUUCCUCUAGCACUAGUUAAAAAGCCUUCCAAGCUACCUUGAUGUUGACAUAGAACGAUGCAAUAGAUAUGCAUACUUUGAUCCAAAGUAUAAACUGAGCGGGGAGGCCCAUGGCUUUGAGAAAAGAAGUACUAAAAGAUCACUUGAUUGUGUCGAAAGCCUUGGAGAUAUCAAACUUCAUUGUGGCUCUGUUGGAAUUUGAGGUCCUAUAGUAACCAUUCACAAGUUCCAACGCUAGCAGCACAUUUUCUAGCAACAAGCGACCUUUGAUGAAAGUUAUCUGAUUUGGCUUGAUUGCAUCUGGUAGAAUGGUUUUAAGUCGACGAGCAAGGACUUUUGAUAUGACCUUAUAUAGUAAAUUGUAGCAGGCUAUUAGCUUAUAAUCAUUCAUAGACUACGCCUCCUCCGUUUUUGGUAUCAGUGUAAGGAUCGUAGUAUUAGUUCCAGUGGGUAAGAAACCAAACAAGAAGAAAGAUUUCACUGCUAUGAUGAAUUUUUUUCCAAUAAUAGGCCAAACAACAAUGUAAAAUUCUUUGGUGAAACCAUCUGGACCUUAUACCUUAUCAUUCGGGAGAGCAUGAAAAGCUGAUUUUAUUUCCUCAACGGAGACAUGGGCUACAAGUCCAGCAGCAAAUCUGGUAGGGCAUCGAUAGGUGAGUAUUUCCUGCAGCAUAGGAUACAAAUCUACUUCAACAGCCUGAUCCUGAGCUUGAAGAAAUCUCUAAAAAUGCUGAACUGCUUACCUCUAUCUGAGAUCAUAGUAAGAGUUUGUUGUAGCACCACAAGCUGAGGUUCCUCUAGUCCGCAAGGGUCCUACAACCAGGUCAGGUGUGCGGGUCAUAAGACCUGGGUUUACCAAGGCCGUCCAAGAGAUACUUGAGCAAGACCAGACCGGCUUCAAACAAUUGUUGAUUCAAGAGAUGGCCGAGUUAAAGCUUGAAGAUCAAGCCGAUCCAGUUGAGGUUCAAGACCCGUCAGGCUCGAUCCAGUUCUCCUCUAUCGAUCAGAGCCAAGUCGGUUUAAUCAUGUCCACAUUCAGUUUCGGUUCAUCCGUCCCAAUUGAUCCAGGUUCAGAGAUUUAGCUGUCCGGUCUGAUUAAGGUAAGCAUGUAAGAUUUCAAUUUGCUUUCUAACCGGUUUAUUGUUUUUGAUUUGUGUCUGGUUUAUUUAUUUCAAUUUGGUUAAGAUAUUAUGGGCAAAUUGUUAAGUCCUUUUAAUUUAUUUUGAGUCCAAUAAUUCAGGCCUUUGUUAGCCUUGCUUUAGAGUCCAAGUAGAGUCGGUCCUUUCUGUUUAGGCCUUUCUGUUUUACAGUCCAAGAGUGUCAAUGUUGUUUUUGCUUCAAGUCGGCAAAGCUGCAUCUGGUAUUUAAACCCCCUUAUGAGAAGCUGUGUAUUUUUUUAGACAAGAUAAUAUAUGAGUCAGUUUGCCCCUAACAAAACCUAAGCCUUUCAAUGGUGAGAAACAAUUGAGAGCAACAUUCUAGACAUAUCAAAGACCCGGCCAUUGUUCUUUGUGGAGUCGAUCGAUCCAUCUUCAUCCCUUGUUCGAUCUUGAGAGAGACACACAUCCAGCAAGACCCGGAUCCAUCUCUAUCCAUCAUUCCAUCCGCUGAUCUUGUUGAGAGAGACAUACAACCAGCAACAGAUCCCAUCUUCCAUCCUUUCAGCUCUUUCUUUUGUUUAUCUUUUCAUAUUGCAAAUCAUUCAUCCUUGCUUGUUUUUAAUCUAUUUUGAAACCCCAUAAAAACCAUUCAUAUAGUUUACUUUCUGUCUUCCCAACUAGUAAAAUAUAAAAACUCACAAAAAGAACUCAUUGUUUCAGGUACAGAUCGUCUCCAAGACCGUCCAUCCGCGAAGCCAUCCACGCGAUACUGUCCAGCCGAGCCGGGUCCGUACCGCGGCCGGACCUCAGUCCGUCCAGUUCGAUCAGACCGUGCCUACAACAGAGUUGCACCAGCCGCGUUAACCAGACUUCUAAUUGUGUUUCGAGAAGAUCUUGUCUGCACUGCUCGAUGGAAAAAUAGUGUAUUAUGAUCUCCAGCUCCACGUAAUCUAAUACAAGGCUUCUGGCGAAUUUUUUUUUUUUUAAUACUGGAUAGUUUGUUCUACCUUUCAGACGUCUCAGCUGCCGCUGCAAAAUUUACCGGGUUCGGGUCCAAAAGAGCCAAGUUUUGGCAUCGACACAUCUCUUCAAAAGCUUGCUUUGUUUUGUUUUGUUAGGCAGGUCCUCGUAAUGAGUUUUGUUAAGCAUUUUUAUUUUAUACUUCAGUAGUUUUAACUUAGCAUGAAAUCUGCUUAGUGAUGCCCGUGAGUGAUGAAUAGCUUCAUUCUACACUCUCUUAACCGUAGGGAGAAAAUUAGGGUAUUCAGUGAAAUUAUUGAAAAAUCGAAAAGGCUUUCUUACCUUAUUAAAAUUGCCUGAGAUUUGAACUAUACAGCGAACAUAGAUCAAUAUACCUCCUGCGUCGAAAUGAGAAGAAGAAUAGGUAUAAUUAAUUUUGUUAUAACAAUAGUUUUUCUUUACUUUACUGAAUUGGGUUAAGAUAUGUCAAUUUAUAUAUUUUUAAACACUUUGAUGGCAUUUUAAAUAAUAUCUUCAUCUUUAUGUAGCAUGGAUUUCAGAUUAAGAAUAUAUAUUUAUAUAGCAUUUAGGUAAAACCAACCAGGGAACAAUAUCAUGUAUAAUAAAACAUAUUGUUCAAGCGUUUUCUAACUUAAAGGUUGCCAUGGCAAUGCCAUAUGUCACUUUUUAUAUAUUUGUUAGUAAAAUACAUAUAUAAAGUUUGAGAAAGUGACAUGUUAUUUUUUUUUUAAAUACAGUUACUUGAUUUAUUUAUUUUGACAAAAUUGAUUUAUUUUAAGAUGAUAAAAGAUUUAACUUUGAUUAGGAUGAAAUGUCAGUGAAGAUAAUUUUCCAACAGACUUUAUGACAUCUUACAUCCCUUAUGUUACAUGGAUUUGAAAACAUAUGUAAUAAAACAUUCGUUUUCUAUAUUAAAAGUUUUCAUGUGUCACUUUAUUAUAUAAGAUUCUUACAUAAUCUUUUUUUUGGUAAAAUAUUAAUAUUUAUACUAUUUUGAAUUUUCCACAUUGUUGCUAGCAACUUAUUAAACAAGAAAGAAAAGAAACAACAACAACACAACCAUAUUUUGCUAUAGUAAUUUGAAUAAUUUUAGCUGGCCAAAACAAAAAAAAGAUCAGCGGCACCUAUACUAAUAGAAUGACACAACCAUAUCUAUAUAUAUAAAAGAAGCAUUGUAUCUCUCCUGGGCAUGCCAGCUCGGAUGCCACGUCGGAAAUAGAAGCUCUCUCGCGCUGCCACGUCGGAUCCGCACCGUUUCACUUAAGCGUUGCUCUGUCCGAACGGGCUUCACGUGGGCUUCAUCACGCGCUAAUCAAAUGUUUUCUGUCGCGAGGCCCGUCCGCAUACGUCUUCUACGGGGAACCCUAAACAGAUGCUCCCUUCCUGUUCUUCGUUCGUCGCCUAUCGCCGCAGCGGCUGUCUAGAACCUGUAACGGUUUUGCUUUCAAUCACCUUAAAUCGUCUUUAAUUCACCAAUAAUGGAGUUUCAAGAGGAUGUAGUCUUGAAGAAUCUAUGUAAGAAGCUUCGUUUGAAACGUUAAUGGUUAUUUAUUCAUGGUUGUCUAAUCUCUGCAAGUUGGUCUCUCAGCACCUAUAAAAGCUGCGACACAAGAAGUUACGAUGAACGGAGUCCUCAUCGGUUUGAAUCAGCCCUAGGGACGACAGAGUCGCGCAGAUCUUCGAUUCCGUACCUCUCAUUCCUCCUCUCGAGAUCUCUCGCUCAUCAUGGUCACUCUCUCUUCUUCUUCUUAUGAUUUUAAUAGGCUUUGAAAUUGAACUUUGAUAUUGGAUUACGGAUUGUGGAGUUUUUGUUUGUCUACGAAAUGAAAUUGUAUUCUUGACCUUCUGAAUAUUGCUUGAUUGUCUGUAAAUCUUAUUGUUUUGUCUAUUCUAACAUAAAAAAAUUAGGUCUUGGAUUGUUUUGGUUUAACCACAAGCGCAACAUUUUUACUAGAUCUUUUUGAGAGAAAUUUAGUGUUUGCAUCCAUAUGUGUUUUUGAUGCCAAAAAGAUAAUUUUUGUUUACUUAUGUGUUUUUUAUGCCAAAAUAUAGUUUUCUGUCGUUUGUCUGUGUUUAGUUAGAGGAGCAUUACGUGGCUAUGUGAGGAGAUGGAGUUGAGAGGAGGAUGCUAGCUCUUACAGCUUUGGAUGUUCUACGGUUCGUCAGAUUUUUACAAUUGAUACAGGUUUUUGUGUUUUGAGUGAACUUUUGACGCUGAGGAUAUGCAAGAGUUCAAUGUCUAGCAUGCAGGACAACAGAUGACUAAUUGCAAUAAGCUGGCUAGACUUGAUGGAGUUCCAUACCGUGAUUUCACUGGAUAGGUCUUUGGUUUUUUUUUUUUUUGGAAAAGAAAAAAAAUGUAGUUUGCAUUUUAGGGGUUAACAUGUUAAACUCAAGCAUCUUUCUUAGUUGUUGUUUGUCUUGCGCUGUUGGCAGGAGAGGAUUUGACUAUUCUCUAUGGGUUCGAAUGUAAGGAUAAUGUUUGAGACCAACACACAAAACCCACCGGGUCAUAUAAACGAACAGUGUCACUUACCAAAUAACCAAAAAUUUAGCAAAACACCCUUACAAAGCUGCAGCGCAACAUAGCGUCCCAAUAAAAGCCACCCUCAAGAACUGCAUACUAACCUCCCUGCAACCCAUGUUAGUCAGGAUAGUUGUUUGCUUGAACUCUGACCUCACAGCACCUUCUGUUUUUUUUUUAUCAGCACCUACAACAACUAAAACAAUGGAAUCAGAAGCAGAGCUUGAAGGUCAUUUGUUUGAAUCAUCAACCUUAAACUGUUGCUAUUAAACCAAUAUAAACCCGGUAAGGACUACAUUAUUACUUUUUAAAAAUUAGGAAUCACCCAACAAUUAUGUUGUCAACGCUUAGAACACAUUUAUAUUAAAAGGAAUAGUCAAAUUCCUUAAAAAAAAAAAAUAAUUUCAGUCCACUAUGGAAACCAUGGUAUACUUCUUAUUGAACCAAAUGACGUGUCGAAGUGUCGAACCCGGACAUGGAACCAUGACCAUGGGUAACAAAAACUCAAAAUACAUGUGUUAAUAACGAAGCCAUUACACAAUCCACACAUCACAUAUCAAACAUACAAUAGUACAAGCUUCUGUUGGGGCUUUUAGAAUAGCGCAAAGAAACAAAAAAAAAAGAUUUUGAACAACCUAGCCAUAACAAAGUACCGCUUGCAAUCGUUUUUAAAUUGUGCUUUAAGGUUUUAAGCAACAAAUGCCACUGACCGACAAAUAAACAACAGACCUGGGAAACUGUGAGCUUACCACGUCUCUCAAUUUUCUCAACACCAGUUUCAAGAUCAUAGAAAGUAUAGACCAUAAAUAAUUUAAACUUUUUUAUUCUUUAAUAUGAUGCAUUUGUAAAAUAAACAAAAGAGUUUUUUUGGUUGAAUAAAUUUAAAAUUCAAUUCAUGAAAAGGAAAAAUUUCUCAACACCUCAUAAACCGUGCAAUAUGAAUAACACAGUGUGUUGACCCCGCACGUUGCAGCCCACGACCGCAGUCAGAAGUGCCGAAAAUCCUACACUCCACUGAUUUAGGUGGAGAUAUUAUGGUGCGUAGACUGCCAACUACAAGUUUGAUUAUGGAAUAUGUGACAUGCUCCGAUCUCCGAACGACGACAAUGGCUGCAUGUGACUUAGAUUCCAUCUGAAAUAACAAAUAGAAGUUCCACAUGUAGGCUUAUGUCAAAGCUUAUGAUCUCCUUAUUUCUCACACAAAUGAGGAACUACAACAAUGAGGCUGUAAAAAUGGCGGACGUCCCGCCUACAUUCUAAAUACAUGGAUCAUUAAACAUCAUUUUAGAGAAUGUAACCACCAAACUUCACAGUUCAUGUUAUUGCCACAAAGAAAUCUUUAAAGACGUCCGGAUGACCGAGGUUAGAGCUACACAUUUACUUUAUACAUUUUUAUAUACACGAGUCUGUUUGCAGUGAAUAAUUGUCGUAAUUUUCAUUGCAUAUUUGAUAUUGGGACGACUCAUUUCUCUCAGUGAACGGAGAGACACAGCGUAAGCGUCGAAGUGGACAAGUUCUUCUGCUAUCCCGAUCUUAUUUUUAAAAUUUUAAUAACAGUUUAAUAUCAGGACAUACAGUCAUUUAGUUGGUGACCUUAUUACACUUACUCAAAACAUCGUCUACGGAUCCUCGCAUCGUAUCGUUUAUAUAGUCUAUCCUCUGAUUUGGGUUUAUGUGCUUCACAUAUUUUUUAAAUGAAAAUACUCAAAUAACACUAAUAUAUAGGUUUAUAAAAUAUAUAUGUUUACAUACACGCAUAAAUAUAGUAGCAAUUUUUCCAGAACAGAAAACUAAUCUGCACACAUAUAAUAUAGAUAGAUACAUAUAUAAUUAAACAAUUCAUUCCAACGACACAAUUAAAAUUAAAUUAUUUCAUACG